UGAAUAAAGAAAAGUAAAAUACAUUUGAAAGCUAAAUGGUCCCAACCAAAGAGAGCAUGAUUCAAGCUUCUGUCUGAAGCAUGAAGUAAACCAACUCACAAGAGAUCAAAUUUCCAAAGCCUUUCUCUUAUUUUGGUAUGUGUCAAAGUUCCAACGAGCUUUAAGAACUCCAGGCAAUGCUUACACCCCAAUUAUUAGUGCAGAAUUGUAUUAUAAUGUAGUGUGGAAGGGCCAGCCCUCAAAUGUCCAAGUUUAGAGGGAACUCAAGGUCCCAAGGCAAGGCUCAUAGGAGGGGGGCAGAGCUUAGAGGCUAGGGGUAGGUGUAAGUGCAAUAGAGGGGAAUGGAAAGCUGGUGGUCAUACCAAGAAACUUGGGUUACUGGCACACCCCUAACCAACCUGUCAGCCUUAGAAAUUAGAGAGUUAGAACUUGUUGAAGGUCAGGUCCAGCGCUAGACAAUAAUCUGGAUGCUGCUAGGCUAUGCCUUAACUCAGCACACAUUGGGGAGUAGGGUAUGGGGAACUGAAAGAGACAAGAGCAGGCUGUGGACAUGUGCAGCAAUAGGGAAUGCUAACAUGACCACAAGCCAGUUACAUUAUUUAGAGGCUAGGAUCUAGAAGAUCUGGUUUUAAUCCAUGGACAACAACUUGUAUAUUGCCAUGUUUUAAACCAUAGCUCAAACACAUAAAGGGGUAGGGAGUAGGGAUUCAUUGCAUUUGCAGGAAAGUAAAGCAAACACUAGCAUAUGAACAUGUCAAACUCUGCAGGUAACAGACAUAGAUAUAAAGACUAUAAGUAAACACAUUGGGAUUAUGCUUGGAAUUGAGUUAAGACAUACCAGUUUAAAGAGAUAAAAAAGAGGAAGCAGCAGUCUUGUGAAAUCCAAAGUGCCGACAAAGGAUACUUUAAAAAUAAUUGUGAAAAUUGUAAGUAAAAAGUAUGAAGUGUAUUUAGUUCUUGUGCUUGUGAAAGCAGAGUCGUGUAUUUAUAGUUUGAAACUAGGCAGAAGUAAGGGAAGAAUCAUGGUAAUUAUGGAACUAUGUAUCAAUUACAAUAAAUCAACAUAGGCACUUCCUUUAAUUAAGGAGUUUAAGCUCAAAUGGUAAUGGAGAGCAAACAGUUAAGGAAAGAAAUCAAGUGAACAGCUUGUGUAAAGUAGGAAAUUAGGGGAAAAUACAUAGGGGUCUAACUUAAGGAAAGAAUAUUUAAAAUACACGGUUAGCCCAAAUAAGGUAAUAACACAGUAAAUCAAUUAGUAAAUAGUAAAUCAAGGAAUCAGGGAUUCAAAAUUACCAAUAAACUAGGUCAGAAAUGGGAGAAUCGAAAGGCGAUAGAAAGUUUUCAAAUUAAACGGGGAAUAAUAAGGAAAGAAUCAAUCAGGUUUACACAAAGAGGUCUGAAAUCAAUCUAAAAUCUAAUGUUAUUUUAGAGGGACAUUCAGUGUGUAUAAAGAGUUCACAAUUAUUAGGCAUGCGAGGAUAAACCAUGGUAAAGAGAAACAAUAACAAUAACUACGCAGACAGUAGAUAAUACAACAAGAUAGUCAUGUAGGUUGAUUCAGCAAUAGGGAGAACGGGGAAUCAGAAGCAUGCUAAAAGAGUUAAGAAAAUGACCCUUCUGGAAAGUAUAGCUUAGUUCAAAGAUAGCUUAGUUUAAAGAUGGAAGAAACCAAAUCACAUAAGGAACAUAAGCAAAAACAAGAAGGACCAUGAAUCCAAUCGAGUGACCUCCAGUAGACGAAAUAGUUUUCAGAAACCCAAAUAGGUCCGAAAGAAUUAGGCCUUCGAGAUCAAACCAAAUUAGAGAUGAGAACCAAACAAACAACAAAGGAAAUAACCUCAGAAGAAACAUUCACAAACCUCAAAAGAAACCAAGAUUCUUGACAUGCAAGUUCUAGAAUGACAUAAAGGGUCACAGUAAAAGAAAAACACAUAAAAGCACAAUAGAAGUAAAACAUAAGAAACACGAUAGAACAUGUUAAAAAGAGAUCAUAAAAGCUUUGAAAUAACUUAACAAAACCCUAAAUCGGAAAAGAUAAAGGUUUUGAAAAAAAAGUUUCGAAGGAAAUCUCGAAAAAAUGCUCAGAAGCUUAAGGAGAACACAAAUCUACAACGAAUCUAAAAGAAUCAGAAGAACCACAAAUAGCAAGAAAGGCUUGGAAAAUCACGAUCUAAGCAUGAGACAUCUAGAACCAAACUUAAACAUUCAUGGUCGGCCGGAGCAGGGUCGGAUUCAAGCAAAAGGACUCGAAUCAAACAGGGUCUAUCCAAUCUAGAAACCAAGAUAAUCGAGCACGUAGGAGUCUCAGGAGGCAGGUACAUGCCUUUAAUGGUUUUGGAGACCAUGGAUUCAGGCGACUUUAGGUGGUAACCAGAGAAGAGAGAACGAGAAGGUUUUAGAGAGAAGGGAGAGGGAGAUAGGAUACAGAGAGAUGGAUGGUC
rnacentral:lncRNA from 1 species